UACAGAGGUCUCAAGCGUUGUUCGGAGUUACUGGGCGUAAAGGGUGUGUAGGCGGUUUGGUAAGUCUGGUGUGAAAUCUCCCGGCUCAACUGGGAGGGUGCGCCGGAAACUGCCGGACUAGAGUGCGGGAGAGGAGAGUGGAAUUCCUGGUGUAGCGGUGAAAUGCGUAGAUAUCAGGAGGAACACCGGUGGUGUAGACGGCUCUCUGGACCGUAACUGACGCUG
rnacentral:rRNA from 1 species